rnacentral:rRNA from 1 species
CCUACUGGCGGCAGCAGUGGGGAAUUUUGCGCAAUGCUCGUAAGAGUGACGCAGCGACGCCGCGUGAAUGACGAAGGCCUUCGGGUCGUAAAGUUCUUUCGACAGGGAAGAAAAUGCCUAUAAGUAACUGUGUAUGUAUUGACGGUACCUGUAUAAGCAGCCCCGGCUAACUCCGUGCCAGCAGCCGCGGUAAUACGGGGGGGGCGAGCGUUGUUCGGUGUGACUGGGCGUAAAGAGCACGUAGGCGGUUUUGUAGGUCAUUAAGAAAAGACUAGAGCGAAACUUUAGUAAGGCUAGUGAUACUAUAAUACUAGAGUAUCAGAGAGGAUUGCAGAAUUCCUGGUGUAGCGGUGAAA